ensembl:lncRNA
CUAAAAUAUUGACAUAAGCUGCUUUCACAAACUUGUAUUCCCCAGGGGCAAUAAUCAGGCCUCAUUUGCUGCUUUUCUGUCAUCUUGUGCAGGGUUAUACUCAUAUCUCUGAAACUGUUUUUUGUCUCUGCAAAAUAAAUGAGUGAUGCUACACUAGGUCUCUCCAAAAAGCUUCCCUUAGUGAAGCUUUCUCCUAUGAAGCUAGAACCUUCUGAUACAGCCUAAUUUGGAAGGCGAGGACACUAAAUUGUUCCAUUAAUGUGGAGCUGUCAUUGGAGUAAUGGUGACAGUCUUUAGUUUCUGGGGGAGUUUAUUCCAUGCUGACCCCUGUGCAGGUAUCUCUGAAAGAGAACUUGCUGGAAAGGAAUGGUCUAAUGUAGAUCAGUUAUAUUGUUCCAUACACCAUACUGGGACAGUUUCAGAGAUCAUCUUUUCUGUGUGAGAAAAUGCAAUAGUAAAGAAGAAGCAUGGACCUUGGUCAGAGAAGUAGCUUUGUACCAUGAAGUAGUGACCUUUUAUCUGAUUCAAGAUAACUGGAUUAUUUGUUUUAAGUGAUCCUUAUUAAUAGAGCUUGGGUAUUUAUUCAUAUAGCUAAACUCAAACCUCAUGAUACAAGAGAUCAUUUUGUUACAGACCUGUGUAAAAACAAUCUAUUGUUGUAUAUACAGUACUGUUCAAGAUUCUUAAUGCCAGAGUAUCAGAUUCUCUAAGGACUCUUAUCUUCAAAAGCUGCUGCACUAUCCUUUUCCAUUCCUGAACAGAGGGCUUGACCAGGGCUGGCCUUCUAGUCACUGAUAUGCACUGGAACAGCCUUGACUGACAUGUUGUGUUAGUAAAGACUUUAAUCAAGAGUGUUUAAAACUGGCUGGAGGCUGCUCAGCAAAACUAGCUGAUCUGGAUGAGCAUAACUAAGCUCACAAUUAAAGAAUAGUUUUAAAUAAUGCUGUUGUUACAUUAUGAAUGAUUUUUCUGUACAAAAUAAUAUGCUGUCUGUGAAUCUAUUAACGUAUGCAAUUACACUGGCUAGUUUGCCUAGCCACAUGUUUUAUUUUAAAUUAAUCAAACCAUUGGUCAAAAUUACAGGGAUAAGUGAGUUUGGCUCAAAUCAAUGUCAUGGCACACAGUUAAUAAACUUAAUAUUCUGUGUGACUUUUAAUGUAAAAUUGUUUUAAUUUUGUUCACUUCCUCUUGCCAGAGAGACUUGCGGGACAAUUUUUCAGAUAAUUUAGAUGUGUAGUUACUGUGAUUAUACAGACAAUUGUGUGAUAAGUUAUUGUAAGCUGGCAUUUCAAUGUUUACUCACCCAGCUGGCAUACAUAAAGAAAGUAAUUACAGUCACACAUUAGUCCCAUAAUCACAUACUUAAAGUGUUCUAAAAUCUGGUUCUGACUGUCCAAGUGUAAUGGCUUGCUUCUAAGAAAAAAUAAAUAAAUGUGAUUCAGGUUGUGUUGGUAUUAUGCCUUUAUUUUCAAGUCAGUGAAAGCAGUGAAAAUCUUCACCUGCAGCUGCAGGUAGCUUCAGUUGCAAGGAGGCCUAAAAUUUACAGUAAGAAUAGUUUACACUUCCUCUCAGGACAGUUGUGAUACAGAAAAACUGCAACAUUUUAUCUGACCUGCUAUGCUUUGCAGUUUCCUGCUGUGACU